ACAAAAAUUGGUCUCCUUAAUAUUUUCAGUCCAGAUUUGAUGUAUCAAAUGUCAAUAAAAAUGUCCAUUGACAGUAAGUUGAUAAGCUUGAAUGUUUAUUUACGAGAUCAUUUCAUUGUUUUAAAUAUUAUUCUCUUUUAAUAUUAAAAAAAAUAUUCUUAAACUUUUGUGUUAGUAUAUUUGUGUAUCCAUAAAAAUAGCUAUUAAGGCGACCAGGGAAAAAAUCAUAAUUUUGGUCAAAAAUAGCUAUAUACUAAGCAUUUUUUAUUUGUUUUACUUUAUUUAAAGCUUAUUGUAUAUUAUCCCGAAGUUUCAUUCCAUAAAAAACAGAAAUGAGGAAAUUCGAUAUUUCGUGUACCAUCAGCAUCCAAAUUUUCAAGUAUACAGAAAUUUAACUUUCCGGAAUAUAACGGAAAUUUUCGGGUAUCUCCGUGGUACCAUCUCCGUGCAAUUAUGCAGUAUGGCGUUCAUCUCUUACAGAAAGAGAAUGGUAACUUGGUAAGUGUUUAAAAUACAUAUUCAACGUUUUUUCGUUUAUUUUUAUGACUUUUGUACAGUUGUAUAAAUCGUCCACCCUUUGGAUGAAAAGCAAAUGAUUUAUCCGGAUUUUGUUCAUCCGAAACUAAAUCACUAGUAUCAACAUCCGGUGUAAUUUUUGCUUGUAUUUUGGAGAAACUCGAUUGAUUUCUAGCAAACUUGGUUUACCACUACUGUACAUCGUCGCUUAUUAUUAUUUGAUACACUGUGUUGUGUGUGGAUAAGAAAUGCAGAGUGGUACCACCAAUUACCUAAGUAACCAUUCCCCUAACAGACAAAAGGCUCAUGGGGACAGUUCCUGCAGUUUACAGCAAAUUGUAGCCCUACAAACUUCAGAUACUGCCAAGCUUGGGUGCACUGGGCCGGUUAUCCAGCCGUGUGGAAUCAACAUCUCCAGCUGAACUUGGGCCGGGAAUUAUAUAAGAAUCCUUAGCAGCAUGAGUGCCAGCCAGUCAUUGCUGUUCUUUGCAUUGCUGAGGAGGACAGUCCUGCCAACAUAACAGUUUGUUCAAUAACAGGAGACAAACAGAAACACAGAGGUGCUAUACAUUCCGAUGGAAAAUACAACAAAAGCAUCUCCCAUCAUUUUGGCGUGGCUCAGAUCAAGAGGAGAAUUUUAAGAAAGGUGAUGGUUGGGCACACACAAGAAGACAUAGAUCACAUGUGUCCAGGCAUAUGAGUAGACAGGAGUUUCACACUCUGCCAAACUUACUUCAUCAGAGGAGCAGAAAGCUUCUCAAGAUCCCGCACUGCACACUUAGAUAUAGUCUUUGACUACAACAAGGGGAUGAAAGUACAGAGAGGUCCAAUUGAAAUCAAUUCUGUGCUGCGUCAUUUCUUCAUUCUGGAAGUCGAUGGACAUGAUUUAUCAUGGCAUCAGGUGUGCAGUUUGUCGACUAUCAGCAGUCUUGUUCACCAGUUGUGCAACUUGAGCUGGUAGCUUUAUUGCUUGAAGCCACAGCAUAAGAGGGGGAAGGUGCAGGCUCAUCAAAAAGUCUCAAAAGUUGAAACUAGGAAAAGAAGUUUGUCAAGAGUGUGAAUAUUUGCUUUGAAAACCAUCGUUACGAUGAUUUGGUUUCCUUUGAAACUUGAUACAUACUAUGUGUAUGUUGAAUGAAUUGAGAUGCUUAAAUAAAGAACCGCUAUUCAAAUAUCAGGAAACUGCAUUUUUCAUACUAAAGGGUAAAUGAUGUCGCCAUUUCCUGUAUGUAUUUAAAUGAGAUAUGUUUCCACAAUUAAUAUUUUUAGGGAAUUUUUCUCAUCCUAAUGAAUGAGAUUAAAUUGUACAGCGUUAUAUGAGCUUAAUAUGUGUUUUCUGUUUCUUUAAAAUUGGUGAAAAAUUGUCAGAAGAUAAUUAGACCAUUAUCCAUUACUGCAAUCAUACAAUCAAAUAUACAGGGACAAACCCACUGGGCAUAUAAUAUAAUUAAACCCUGUUCAGGGGCACGAGGCAAACAGAGUUACUUUCAAACGUUAAAGCUGCACUCUCACAUUUUGGACGUUUUGACAACUUUUCUCAUUUUAUGUCUUGGAUUGGAACCAUCCAAUUUUUGCGAAAAAUUAAAUGGCAGAUUUUUCUAUUUAAGUUAAAACAUUGAUGUUUUAUGCACUUUUCUUAAACCGUUAGUAACAUUAAUUUUUGAACGGAAAUAUGAAAUCUGUGAUCUGAUCUUUUGUCAGCAAUCUUUUAUCAUUGGUUUGCAGAUAAUUACGCAAAAAAUUGCUCAUUCAAAAACAAAAAAAAGUUGUGAAAACGGUAUAUCUGUGGGAGUGCAGCUCUAAAUGUUUAAUUUCUUGAUUUUACUACUGUAUUAGAAAUUACAGGGGUUGGGGCAUAUUUUUAGUGUUUUUAUUGCUUUUUAUGAUUCAUACAGUCAUACUUUAUUCCUCAGGGCAUAACUUACAAAUAGACAAAACUGGAAAAUGGUCGUUUCAAAAGGCCAAAGAUAAUGCAAGUUGAACAAUCAUAUUGUUCAUGGCUUGUAUUUUUGGUAUAUUUUGUUGCAUAUGCUAUAGAAAAGUUGAAAGUUAAAAAUAAAUUCAUAGUUGAAAUGAUGGCUUUGAAUGGUAUUGUCAGAUGAGAAAAGGCACUUUUAAGAAAUAGGUAUAAUGGUACUUUAUUUAUUUUGAUCAAUUUUAGAUAUUGUAUAAAAAUUAUUAUCUUAUUUAGUACAUGAGACCUUUUAAACAGUUAUUGACAAUAUAACAAUGUGUAUAUGAAGCUUUAGAUCAACACUUAAAGCUGCACUCUUACAGAUUGUCAGUUAAGACACAAAAUUGUCUCAAAAUCUGCUGAUUUGGUUAUCAUUCCUUUAAUUCAGUCAUAUUAGAUAAUUCACAAUAGAACCCAUCAGAAAUGUAAAAGUGCCGAAAAUUUCAUUUACAUUAAAUUGUUCGUAAUGCUUUUAGCCAUAAAACAUCAUUUUUUUAACAUAAAUAUGAUAAACUGCUAUCUGAUCUUUUUUCAGCAUUCUUAUAUCACUUAAAAUUGGGUCUAGACAUUUAUGCAAAAAAAUUGUCCAUUUAUAGACAAACAAUAAAAGAGUACCGGUAGUCAAAACGAUCAAUCGGUGAGAUUGCAGCUUUAAAUACACCUUUUAAGACCGCUGUAAAAUUCCAAUGGUUUGCCUAAAUCGUUAAAGCUAGCAUACUGUUUAAUUAACAACCAUACUUAUUGUUUAAAAGUGUCAUGAUAUCUUUGUACAAUGUUUUUUAUAUAAUUCAUUAAAGAAGUCAAAACAAAUUUGUUUAUCUUGUAAAUUGUUUUCUAUUAUUUAAAUGACCCAGACAAAUAUGGGAACGUCA